CAACUUUUUUUUUUUUUUUUUCCCAGAUGAAAGUAAAUCAUACUGAUCAAAAAUAACAUUUUUGUUGAUGUAGUUGUGUCCACACUGAGGAGGGUAAUGGUUUAGCUAGGUGGGCAGAACACAAGCAACUUGUAGAUACCAAGAAGUUCUAAGAUGAGAGGUGACAUGGCAAGUCUUGCUGGUAUUCUUGCUGUCAGGGCAUUGAUGGCUUGAUUCGGUGAAGGAGAAUUACUUGUAUGCACCCAGGUUGUUCUUUCACUUCCUUACAUUUUCUUUUUACAUUCAGAUACUACUUGGCUACAUCAGAGCAAAGUGCAGAGGAGCUUGAGCAGCUCAGGCCAUGUGGGGGUCUGUUGUCAUCUUUGCUGAAAGUCUGCCAGAUGGGAUCUUUUGAUAGUCCACAAGUUCUCCUCAAGGGAUUGGCUGUCGAGCCACAGAAUUUGUUCUGCUCAGUAACAAAGUAAAAACAGACCUUGAACUCAGAGGGAUUCAGGAAAGGAUUUGAAGUGCUUAGAAGCAGAGAACCGGACUUCGCUAACUAAAACU